ensembl:lncRNA
AAAGGACCAAUGCAGCAAACCGUCCCGUUAGCAAAGCAGUGAUGCAGAACCCAAAGCCCAGGGCAGCAAACCCACCCCACUGUCUUUGCAAUGGUGCAAAACCCAAAGGCCCAACCCACACAUGUCCUACAGGUGCACCAGGUGCAGCAAACACACCCCACUGACGUUGCAAUGGUGCAAAACCCAAAGGGUCGAUGCCACAAACCCACCCCAUUGCCUUUGCAAUGGUGCAACACCCAAAGGAAUGACCCACACAUGUCCUACAGCCACACGGUGCAGCAAACACACCCCACUGCUGUUGCAGAAUAUCAAAGGCCAAUGCAACAAACCCACCCCAUUGGCUUUGCAGUGGUGCAACACCCAAAGGUCCAACCCACACAUGUCCUACAGGUGCACCGGGUGCAGCAAACACACCCCACUGGCACUGCAACAGUGCAAAACCAAAGGGCCAAUGCAGCAAACCCACCCCACUGGCUUUGUGAUGACCCAUAACCCAAAGGACCAACGCAACAAACCCACCCCAGUGCCUUUGCAAUGGUGCAAAAUAGAGGGCUGACCCACAACGUGUCCUACAGCUGCACCAGGCGCAGCAAACCCAAACCAUUGCAUUUGCAAUGGUGCAAUACCCAAAGAGCUGACCCACAUAUAUCCUACAGACGCACCGGGUGCAGGAAACCCACCUCACUGACUGUGCAAUGGUGCAAAACCCAAAGGGUCAAUGCAACAAACCCACCCCACUGGCUUUGCAAUGGUGCAAAACCCAAAGGAACGACCCACAGGUGUCCUACAGCCACACUGGGUGCAGCAAACACACCCCACUGCUGUUGCAGUGCUGCAGAAUAUCAAAGGCCAAUGCAACAAACCCACCCCAUUGGCUUUGCAGUGGUGCAACACCCAAAGGCCCAACCCACACAUGUCCUACAGCUGCACCGGGUGCAGCAAACACACCCCACUGACGUUGCAAUGGUGCAAAACCCAAAGGGUCGAUGCCACAAACCCACCCCAUUGCCUUUGCAGUGGUGCAAUACCCGAAGAGUUGACCCACAUAUACCCCACAGCCACACCGGGUGCAACAAACCCACCCCAGUGCCUUUGCAAUGGUGCAAAAUACAGAGAGCUGACCCACAACGUGUCCCACAGCUGCACCAGGUGCAGCAAACCCACCCCAUUGCCUUUGCAAUGGUGCAAUACCCAAAGAGCUGACCCACAUAUAUCCUACAGGCGCACCGGGUGCAGCAAACACACCCCACUGACGUUGCAAUGGUGCAAAACCCAAAGGGUCAAUGCAACAAACCCACCCCAUUGCCUUUGCAAUGGUGCAACACCCAAAGGAACGACCCACAGGUGUCCUACAGCCACACGGUGCAGCAAACACACCCCACUGCCGUUGCAGUGCUGCAGAAUAUCAAAGGCCAAUGCAACAAACCCACCCCAUUGCCUUUGCAGUGGUGCAGUACCCGAAGAGCGGACCCACAUAUAUCCCACAGGCACACCGGGUGCAGCAAACACACUCCAUUGGCUUUGCAACGGUGCAAAACCCAAAGGUCUGACCCACAACGUGUCCUACAGACACACUGCAUGCAGCAAACACACCCCACUGCACUGCAAUGGUGCAAAACCCAAAGGACCAAUGCAGCAGACCGCCCCACAGGCACUGCAAUGGUGCAAAACCCAAAGAGCCGAUGCAACAAACCCAAACCAUUCGCUCUGCAGUUUAGGAUGGAGAGAUUGAUGCACCCGGGGCAGACAGUGACCUCCUCAGCCCCACACCUAUGGGGCUGCCGCUGUCCAAGCAUCAGCACUAUGGGGUUGGAUCGCUCCUAUGGUGCCGAUGUCCCCAUUCCGGCUGCCAGGACUGCCGCUCUUCGGACACAGCACCGCAGAGGACGGUUCCCACAGUGCACCCAUUGGGAUCCACACC